rnacentral:rRNA from 1 species
CCCUUAGAUGUUCUGGGUCGCACGCGCGCUACACUGAUGCAUUCAACGAGUCUAAAACCUGGUCUGAGAGGGCUGGGUAAUCUUUUGAAAGUGCAUCGUGAUUGGGAUAGAUGAUUGCAAUUCUUCAUCUUCAACGAGGAAUGCCUAGUAAACGCAAGUCAUCAGCUUGCAUUGAUUACGUCCCUGCCCUUUGUACACACCGCCCGUCGCUCCUACCGAUUGAACGAUCCGAUGAAAACUGUGGAUUGAGAGUCUGAGUGGGUUCGCCUACCUCAACUUUCGAGAAGCGGUUUAAAUCUUAUCGUUUAGAGGAAGGAGAAGUCGUAACA